UUAUCUUCCUCACUUGUGUAUGUGGGUUUUCCUCAGUGAGGGAUUCCAGUGCUGUGACAUCCUGUUUGGAAUCUGCAGAGAGCAUCAAGGUAGAAUCACUUAAUAUAUGUUUUCUGUAGGAUGUAUGUGUGUGAUUGUGUGUGUAUAAAACCAAUGGAAUUGUGCAUUUCUCUCCAUCCCAGUAAGAAAACAGGGCUAAGUGCAUGUGCAGGUUUAAGGACAUAUGUGUAAAACCUUUGUGUAGGUAUUUUAGGGGAAGCCUGUAUAUUCUAUUUGGAGAAUAUGUAUGUUUUGUUUAUUUAUGUGUACAUUUAGUUCACUUUAUUUAGGUAGGCAUGUGAAUGGGUCUAGGAGUGUAUGCCUCUGUGUGAAUAAGUCUUUGUGGGAGAGUCUGCUUUUGCUGAGCUGUGUAAAUAUAAUUCUUAAUAGAAGCACUGUAGAAAAUAUACAUGUAUGUAUAUUUAUGAGAAGCUACAAAGUGUAUUUUGUACAAGCGUUUACAGUUGUUUUGGUAUGAAGAAUUGUAUGUUUGUACACAGAAUGUAUGUAUAUACAGAAUAGUGUAGGUCUUUGUACGUUUGUUUUCUUAGUUGCAGCGUAGUGGUUUGUGUUUGAAUAUGUUUUGUUGUGUACACCUAGGGGGAAUGUGUUUUUGUAUAAUUUAUUUUAAAAAAUACCAGUUUAAAAAGUGUGCAUGUUACAUAGUAUCUAUCUAUCUAUCUAUCUAUCUAUCUAUCUAUCUAUCUAUCUAUCUGUCUGUCUGUCUGUCUGUCUAUCUUUGUACAUUAAUAUACAAGCAGACAUGUAGUGUGCACUAGUAUAGCAGUAAUAGUGACUAUACAUGUAAAUACAUGUAGACGUAAUGACUAGAAUCCCAUAUACUUUAAGUAGAUUUUUGCUUACUCAUAUACUGCCUGCACAUAUUCAUUGGACUAAAUAUAAAUCUUGCAUUCAUAUGUAAUGAUUUAGUCAUAAAAUAUUUUGAAUUGAUUUUCACCACUUGGUAAUUUACCACAAAUAAUUUGAAACUUUCAUUAUAAAACUACACCUGCAUAUGUGUGUAUGUAGUAUGUGUACUUAAAUUGUCUGUAUAAAUAAGUGCACUUAUAUUUAUUCAUACUCAUAUGUUUGUUUAAACUGAUUACUCCUCGGUUUGUUUUUGUGUAUUGCUGUACAGUCAUAAACUCACUAUCAAGUCACUAAUUCUAGACAUCCUCAGAAGUGCCUUUGUACCCUAGCAACAUGGCUACAAGGUGUACAGGUGUAAAACUCCUGAUUGGUUGUAACCCUAUUAUACCUGUUUUAUUUGGUUGUGUCCCCCAGGACUGUACAAACACAAGAUUAUUUUUGACUAUUAAUGCCCCCUUUCAAAUAACACCUGGCACAAUCAUUUUCCAAGAUGAUUUGACAUGUUUUGCGCUUUUAACCUAUUCACAGGUGAUAGCAGGGACGUUUAUGACUGUUGUGGAAAUGGUUAAGUGGAAUUUUGUUUUUUAUGUAUUGUGUGAUGCUUUUGGCCCCCACCUUAUCAUGCCUGUCCUUCACAGCCCCUCCUUAUAAACCAGGAGGGAAUCUCUCUGUGUGUGGAAGAGCGUCCCUAGGAUCAGGCAGAGGAGAGCACAACAUAAUCUGCAGCCAGCAAGAGAGGGACAAAGAGAGAGAGAGAGAGAGAAAGGGGGGCAGAGGCAGUACUGGGUCAGUCAUUGUGAAAACACAACACGGUAAGUAUUGUUUCCUUCAACCCUUCAGAUAUUGAGAGUAAAGAGGAGUAAGAGGUGGAGAGCAGAGGCAGGAUGAUCUACAAAUGCUAUAGAUAAGAAAAAAAGAGAUAAAUACAGAGACUAAUCACUGAAUUCCAGGGUGCUCCAGCAAGGAAAGGAUUAAUGCCUCUUAGAGUGAAAUGCGCAGACCAAACAGAAAAGAAAAGGGGGCACAGAGGGUAAGGGGAAUUUAGUACGGGACACAGGACAUGGAGUGUGAUAUGAAGACGGAGAAGGUGUGUUGAUGCCGGAAGGAAUAAGAAAGAAUUUAAGGUCAUUUCUUUACAUAAUUAACGCACAGAACAGUUUAAUGAAGAAUCCAAAAAAAGCUGGGGGAUUUUGUUUCACCUUAUUUAUUGGCCUUUUCCUGCCCCCAUCAAAAAAACAGUUGUAUAUAAGCUCAUGUAAAUAUGUGAUUAUGCAGCAAUUUGUAGCAAGAAUAGUUGAAGAAAAUGUAAACAAUUCAGCCCUGAUUGAUUGUAUUGCUGAUUAAUACCUAAAAAUAUAUAUAUAAUCACCUACAUUUUAUGUUAACCCCGUAAUGUCUAGGAGUACCUCCAUGUCUUAAUUCUAGCACCUGAAACAAAAAAGCUGUAAUAUGGCUCAAGAUUUGUCAAGUGUUGCGGAAAGGUCAAUGCGUUUCUGGUCAGAGGGAAACAAAGGGGUACACAAAAGGGAGAAAGUUCUUCCAAAAUGAAUGCACAAGUUUAUUUCUAAGUGGACUUGCUUUUUGAUGUACCUUGAGUGUGCCCCUAUAUAUAUAGGAGCUCCCUUGGAGCCAUGUCUAGUUGGUAUGUGUACAAACAAGUGAACAAAUCAUUUAUACACAGUCAGUCCUAGAAGAAAUAACAGCGAAUUAAACAGCUGAAAGAGAAAAUGCAUUCAAUCAGAUGGUAGGAUGUGGUUGUAGGAUAGAUGCCAAAGAAUAGAGGGCUGUGAACUCUGGGAUUUCUGCACAGCCCAGUGAAAGUUAGCUACGAAUGGUACUGUUUAUUUUAAAUAUAUUGUUCACUAUUGCUACAUUUUUUCAAUGAUAUUUACAUCAUAUGUGAGGUUGCAAGGCAUAACCUGACAUAGAAUGUGAAUUAUUUGCUUUCCCAUGAUUACUUGUGUGCAGUGAAUGGAAGGAAUUAUUGAAAAAUGCCUGGCGUACAAGGGCUUAUGGGAAGAUUUCAGCUGCUGUAUGCAGCAGCGCUGUAGAGGUUAGUGUGUUUUUUGUUUUGCUCAUCUACAUACCUCACCCCAGUAAAUGCCUCAGAAACAUUUUAUUGGGGUGAGCAAAAUUGAACUGUCAGCAGCUUCAGUGUAUCACAUUGCUCUUUAAAGGGGCUGUCUAAGAAACAUCAUCAUUACAACAUGAUGUAGUGGUUAUGGUGCUUGUAGGCUGUGGUUGCAACCCACCCCCUUCUGCAGUUCCUGGGUAAAAUUGUUUUCUAAUACUUUAACCAAAACAAUAGGCCCCUGAAGCAUGACAAAUGAUGGGUUCAGUCUAUCAAUGCCAUGCAAAUAUGGACACAAUUGGUAUUGCUAACGUGAAGUGGAACUUCUGCAUUAGAAAUAUGUGUGCUGGGGGUCAAGCUGAGGUUUCCUUGGGGACCCACAGUUUUGGUCAAACGUAUUGAAAAUGGUUUACGUAGACAUUGAGUACAUGGCUAUAAUAGGAUGAAUGCAGUCUUUAGGUGUGUUUAUUUUUUUUUUUUUUAACAAGUAUCAGCAUAAAAACUGUGAUUUCCAUCUGGCAAUUAAUUAACACUAAUACAUUAAUUUGGAUAGCGCUAUGCAUAUAUAUCUAGUAAGGCUUCAAGUAAAUGUGACCUUUAAAAUCAGCCGAUAAAGGUAAAACAUGUGCCUGUCAUGUGGAAAUAUUUCUCUCAUUGAAGUGUGCACUGGACCAAAAUAGGCUGAAAACCAGUAGUAUAGAGACAUCUUGUCACUUUAUUUUUGCUCUCUUUUAAAAGUGUAUUAAUAUUAGUUUAUGUGGCAGAUAGACAGAUGGCCUGUGAUAUGUGUCAGUGGAUUUACUAAGUACCUCAAGUGCUAGCCUUUCCUCAAUAAAUACACACAAGAUUCACAUUCGCCCUAUUCAGUCAGGUGGUUUCACAGAGAUUGGAGCAGUGUGAUAUUAUGCCAUGCAUGCGCACUAGCCUUCCACUAUACACUGAUGAUUUCAACUAAAGAAGCUGAGUGGAAGGAUGGAAUCAGCACGGUGAGGGUUAAUAGGUAAGUCAAUCUUACCUUCAUAACCUCAUAGACAUUGAGGAAGGUCCAAAAUAGGUAGUUUAACCUCCUGAGACCCAGCCAAUUAACUUCUGUCCACUGUACUAGACAUUUCGUUCACAUGCAUCUCUUUUUAUUCUUUUGAGCUACUCUAUCAAGCCCUGCUGUAUUGUAAAGAGGACACCCUGAGCUUUCCAGUGAUAUGUCAUGUUAUAGGCUGGAAUGCUGGGAACUUCCUCUUCCUUUUCAUAUAAAAUGGCUGGCAUAUUGGAAGACAAUAUUUUCCUCAGUUCCCAGGAGGUUAUCUAUAGCCCUGCAAACAUGUUUGUAUUUCAAACACUAUAGUGCUCCUUUAGAGUAUGCUUAAAUCUUCCAAUUUUUAAAUCACAAUGCUUUCAAGUAUUCUUUUACAACAAUGUCUGCCAAUUAAAAAAAACAAAAAACCUUUUAUGAAUCAUUUAACCUUGUGUAUCUAGGUCAUGUGAUCCUGAAAGUUCUAUUUCAUAUUUAUCUGUUUCUAUAAAUAUUUCCCGUUAGAACUGGAAAAUAAAUAUACAAGUUAACUUUUGUAAAAAAUCUAGCAUUUGGGAUGAUUUCAUUUUAAGUUGAAUGUAGACAUUUAGAGGCGAGGUAUCCAUUAAUUGUGACUUAUGUACUUGAAACAUAUGUGUUGUGACCAAUAAAUACUUGUCAUAGUUGGGUUUACACCUGUUACUUCCUGUUUGUGAAGUAUACAUUUGCACAUUGCACUAUACUAGAUUAGGUUUCAUAAACAUUGGAGGAUAUUUACAAAGUGUUAUGAAAAGAGUUGGUAAUAGUCUUAAUGACACAUGAUUGAAUUAUUCAAUCAUGGGUGCCCUAUCCUUAAGGAUCAUUUCCUUGCUGGUUAUUGGGAAACCCCGGUUAUCAUUCAAUGCAUGGAGGUCCCCUGUGUCACAAUAAGUUAGCGCUGCACACAUCCCUUUAAAUCACUGUGUUUUGCCACGGUCCCAUUGGCAUCAUAAUUUUUUUUUUCCUUGAAUAGUUUUUAUUUCCAUUUUGACAUAAGAACAAACUUCUUUUGAUACAUUUGACAUUGUUACGUUGCUAUACAUCAUUACCUAUUGGCAUCAUUAUUGAUAUCACUUGUAAUACCUUCCGAUAGAGAAAGACCAGCAGGGACUGAGAAGCUCCCUGCAAGUUUACUGCAGCGUGAUCACAGACUGCAGAGGGUGAUCAAUGAAGGGCAAUGUAUGCUGCCCAGUGCUGAUCUCUAAUCUCUUGGAUUUAGAAACAAAGAGGGAAACAAUCCCUCUCAUGCUGAAAGUGCACAGUGCUGAGGGGUCUCUGAGUGCACUGUACUGUAAGUGAAUCCCUCUGUUGCCAUCAGUGAAAGGGAUUCCCUUUGCUGACAUAAGGAGUGGGAAUCUAUCUAAUACACUACUAGGAUUAUAAAAAUUUAAAUAAAAAUUAUAGGUCGCGCCACAAAAACAAGUAAAAACAAGUAAAAUGAUAUGAUAAAACCAAUAUUAAUUAAUAAAAAAUAAGGUAUGUCGCACCACAAUAAAACUGUAGGGUAAUUUAAAAUACAGUAAUGUACUUACAUAUAUUAAAAUAAAGUAAAAAAUACAAUAGUCCUGAUAUCAAAUGGGCAGAUAGAAAGCUAGGUAGACUUACAGGAGAUUUGAUUUGAUGUGUAGAUCUUGAAGUGGUCAGGUUCUCUUGGUUCAGGUUAAAAUAUGUGAAUAUAAAAGAACGAUUCCAAUAGUGCAGACGGUAACUGAAAAUAAAGCGGAAAGGGAAAAAAAACUUCACAGCAGGGUGGUAUUUUCACUCACCUAUGAGAGAGCUAGAACUAGCUCAGGUAUAACUGGCAUUCAGUGGCGUCGAUCCCCUACUGGUAGGAUAUGGGAGUUGAUAAGCGGAGGAGGUCCUCGGUAUGGAGAGAAAAUAAAACCAAAUAGUGCUCACUGUAUAUAUUAUAAGGCAGGUUGGUAUAGAAACAUAAAGUACUCACAUUUAAGUAUUUAAAUACUCCAAAUAUUCUGUACUCUGCCCUUGGGUUUUUACGCCAAAGAUGCAUUAUGUUGCACUUAUCCACAUUAAAUGUCAGUUGCCACAGCUCUGACCAUUUCCUCAUUUACCUAAAUCAUUUGCCAUUUGGCUUAUCAUCAACAUCAACCCUGUUGCAAAUUUUUGUAUCAUCAGUAAAAAGACAUAUUUUACCAGCAAGACCUUCUGCAAUAUCACUAUAUCACAAUGUCUGCUGCUUUUGAAACCGUUGAACAUGCUCUCCUUCUUCAAACUCUUCAAUCAUUUGAUCUCUGUGGCUCUGUCCUCUUGUGGUUUUCCUCUUAUUUCUCCCAACGCUCAUUCAGUGUCUCCUUUUCUAAUGAUACCUCCUCCCCUCGUCCUGUCUCAGUUGGAGUCCCCGAAGGCUCUGUCCUUGGUCCCCUUCUAUUAUCUCUUUAUACUAUAUUUGCCUCUCUUGGCAAACUUAUUGACUCUUUUGGAUUUCACUACCACCUGUAUGCUGAUGACACCCAGAUAUAUCUCCCCUCCCCGGACCUCUCUCCUGCAGCCCUGCAACGUGUCACUGCUUGCCUUUUUUCCAUCUCUGACUGGAUGUCCUCCCGCUUUCUGAAACCCAAUCUCUCUAAAACUGAACUCAUUGUCUUUCCUCCUCCUAAUAGUGAUCCUCCUCUUUCGCUCUCCCUUCAAGUUAGUGAUAUUCACAUAAGUCCAUCCUUACAAGUCUUGGCGUCAUACUUGAUUCUGGCCUCACCUUUGAUCCUCACAUCAAGUAUGUUGCCAAAUCCUGUAGAUUCCAUCUUAAAAAAAUAGCCUGCAUCCGCCCCUUUCUUACACAAGAUGCUACCAAGGAGCUUGUCUAUGCUCUAGUAAUUUCCCACAUGGAUUAUUGUAACCCUUUCCUGAUUGGUCUUCCCAAAAGCCACACUACACCGCUACAGUCCGUAAUCAAUGCUGCCACCAGACUGAUUUUCCUCUCUAGUCAGUUCUCUCACACCUCACCCCUCUGCCAGUCCUUACAUUGGCUUCCUGUAUCCUUUAGGAGUCAAUUCAAGGUACUAAUUCACACCUAUAAAGCCCCUUUUAUAUCUCCUCACAUCCCUUCUCGGUCUCUCCGCUCUGCCCCUGACCUUCUCCUUAGUUUGGCAUGAUCUCCCUGAAGUAGACCCAUGUUAUCAUGACAGAUGAACGUUUUUAGGAUAUCAAGCCCCAUGUACCUUUGAUUAAUCCAAUUUCAAGAUCAAGACAUAUUUCAGGAGCUCACAGUCUUGAGUCCGCAGUUGCCUAUUUUACUCUUCCUUUCUCCUUUGCUGGGCCUUCCCUUUUGGGUAUGUCAUGGGAAAAAGCCUAUUUGAAAAUGUGUUAAUACUUUUAUAUCAUGAAAUGUCUGCAUUUAUGUUAAAAAACCAUCAAUAAAAUAAGUGACAACUCAUCACUUGUAUUCUGUUAUCAGGUUUUUAAAGGAACAACCCAACCAGCAGUGCACCACUACAAUGUUAUUUCAAAGUUACUUUUUUUAGGGUUACAUGACCAGAUGAUUAAUAAAACUCCCAGAUAUGCUUCAGCUGUCCUGAGAAAAUCACCAUGUUAUUUCUUUGUAAGAAAGUGAGGAUGUAGGCCCGAAUUUGAUUGAAUGGAUGCUAUUGUUAACAUUCAAAUUAUUCAGCUUCAUUCUGUAUUCUACUUUCUGCUUGAGAGGGUGUAUAAAGAAGUGUAAAUAUGUUUUUACAGUGUAAGUAUGCAAAAUAAAUCUUAAGAAGAAAAAAGUCACAAAAAUUUUAAUAAUUUGAAAUAAAAAAAUGUUUGGGGUAAUUGCAAUAUCAUUUUUAAACCAUGCAAAUUGAGCUGAGUACUUACAUUUUCAUUAAUCAUAUCAUUAGGUUUUGAAUUUCUGUUUUACUUGUUUCCAAAAUGGCUUCUUAACAUUAACAUGAUCUGCAGGUGACACCAAAGCGUUAUUGUAUAGGAGGAGUCUUCAAGUCCAGGUCAGUAUGUAAUAAGAAGAGAGAACAAGGGGAAAAUAUAGUGUACUAUGUUGAUUACCUGCACUCAUUUAUCUCUUCUCUCUCUCCUACUACCAAAUGAUCCCAUCGUUGUCCCCAUCAAUACAAAACCCACUCACACCUCCUGUCAUUGUCUCUCCUCCUGCUUCUCUCCUGAUGUCUCUUCCAACCCAGGGCCCUUCACCUCCUCUGCUCACAUUAAGCCAACCAGAAACGACAUGAAUCUCAUCCUGGUACCCUGUCAUUUCUCCUCAUCUACCAAUGUUCAGUGUGCACUGUGGUACGCCCGCUCUGUCUGCAGCAGACUGAAAUCUACAGUUGUACACAAGUACUUCGUUUUAAAAUCUCUCACCCUACUAGCACUCACUGAGACCUGGCUGUUCCCCCCUGACAGCACUACUCCUGCUUCUAUAUGCUUGGUGGGCUACGACUUUCCCACACUCUCAGACUCAACAACCGUAAACAAGGUGGAGUAGGCAUCCUUCUCUCCCGCCAAUGUAUCUUUUCAACCAAUCUUCCCUGUCCCUGCCUUAUCUAUUCUUCAUUUGAAAUUCACAGUGUCUGUCUAUUUAAAUCCACUACAAAAAUUGGCAUCAUUUAAAAACCCCUGGUCAUCCUAGGCUAUUCACUCAAAACGUUCUUCCUGGUACACCACUUUCUCUCCUCUAGCACUUCUUCCCUAAUACUUGGGGACUUUAAUAUCCCAAUCAACAACCCUAAUUGCUCCGAAGCCUCUCAACUGGUCUCUGUAACCUCCUCCAUUGAUCUCAGGCAAUUCUAUAACUCAGCAACUCAUACAGUGGGAAACACUCUUGAUCUUAUCUUCACCAAUCUCUGUAACACCUCUAAUAUCUCCAUUGCUCCAUUUCCUCUAUCUAAACCACCAUAUGCUUACCUUUGACAUCGACAUACCCCAUGCACAACUUAUACCACCCUCGAUACAUCAGCCUCACCAAAACCUCCACUGUCUUGACCUACAGUGAUUUUCCACCAACAUCCAAACUCUCCUUUUACCAGUUCCAAGCCUCACCUGCCCUAGCUCUGCAUCCUCCCUCAACAACUUCACACUCUCUACUCAACUAGAUAUCAUGGACACUCCUACAUUUAAACGUUGCAAGCUACCCCGAUUACAACCUUGGUAUACCAUGCUGACCCGAUAUAUCCCUGUUGCUUCUCUUCCUCCUAGUAACUUGAUCACUAUGAAAUUUGCAACUAACAUCUCUAAUCUCUCCCGUUCCCCUACCAAUACUUCACCCAACCCUAUUCCCUCUGCUGUUCUAUGAGCACUUGCACCCACUAGCAACCUACUUUUAUACCCUGCCAUUACCUUUUGUGUACUUCUACUCUACUCCUUCUAAAAUGUAAGUUGUCGAGCAGCGCCUUCAAGCCCCUCUGUUCCUGUGCAUCCAAAUCGAAGCAGGUCAUGGUAAAAUUAAUUAUUGUGUCGCUUGCAUACCCAAGCAUCAGUCGAGACAUGACAAAGGGUACAACUGGAAUGCUUUUUUAUUAUUGCAGAUGGCCCACUUUUAUACAUAGACCCCCAGUAGGGGGUCUCCAGCAAAAGUAUAGGAAAACAUGCCCAGGCGUCUCUGUGUCUGCGAGAUAAUUGAGUGUACUUUGCUUAAACUAAUUACCUCCCAAGUACAAAAUAUCAAACAUAAAAUACCCCAAAACAUACAUAAUAUUUAUAGGGACCUCCACAAGUUCUAUAUCCCUGGAUAGCCUGGAUCUGAGCACCAAAAGCUUCCAAAUAGCGCUCAGAUCGCCACCGGAGUAACAUUAUGACUGACUGCACACAUGGCUUCUGCCCAAAAUAGUUUCAUAAGAAAAGUGGUAGCGGUCGGUCACUUUCAGAAGUCCCAAAAUGAACAAAACUGAACGGUUCUCCUGGCUCAUAGGUAGGGAUUGUUCGUCUAGUUCGUGCGGUACUUCUUGCGUUCACCGAAUAGUGCUCUCCUGGCUUGUCGGGAAUAGAAGCAGGUGUUGGUACAAAGUUACCGUUGUUUCGCGGGUUAGAGUGUUGGACUUAGAGUUCCAGACCCUCAACGACCAAGUAUUGCUGCCUGCUUUCGGGCCGCCCUGGGAGAGCACUUAAUUUAAUGGUUACUGUGAAGUUAAUUGAGCCAGGGGUGGUCGGUGUUCGGUAGAUCAGGGAAAAAAACUGGGGCAAGGGAAAUUACAGGGUUUGUCACAGAUAAAUACUUACCAUCUUGGUCUAAAAGGAGAUAAUCCAGAGGUAUGUAAAAAAAACAGAAAGUAAAACUAAUAUAGUGUAGCAUGUCAUAUAUGCUGGGUGGAGUGAAUAUUAAACAUGUGCGAUUCCGAAUGUCUGAAUUUCGGAAGUGCCGAACCGAACCAAAUUGUAGAACUGCCGAAUUGCUGAAGUCCUGAAUUGCCGAAGAGCUGAAUUUCGGAAGUGCCCAACCAAAUUUCCAAAGCGCCGAAUUUCGGAAGUGCUGAAGUGCUUCGGAUUUCUGAAAAGUGGCAAAACAGGAGAGGAAGGGAAAAUGAAGGGAAUGAUGACAGGAAUCUAACCCUACCCCUAAGGCUACUCCUAACCCUAGCCCUAAACCCACCGUUAACUCUACUAGGGGUAGGGUUAGGUUUAGGGGUAGAGGAAGGUUGGGGUUAGGAGUAGGGUUAUGGGGUUGGGUUUGGGGUAGGGGUGGAGUUGGGGUAGGGUUAGGGUGGGGUUAGGUUUAGGGCUAGGGUUAGGGGUGGGCUUAGGGUUAGAGGUGUGGGUAGGGCUGGGGUGGGGUUAGGGUAGGGGUGGGGUUAUGGGUAGGGUAGGGUUGAAGUAGGGGUAGGGUUGGGGUAGGGUUAGGAGUGGGGUAAGGGAAGGGUUAGGAGUAGGGUUAGGAAACUGACGAAUUCUCAAAUUGCCAAAGUCCCAAAUUUCGGAAGUCUGAACUGAAACAAAUGUUUUGCCCAUGCACAUCCCUAGUGAAUAUGUAUUGCACACUCACAUUUAUUGGAGCCUACUGAUGGUUCCCAGUGGAUAGCAUGAAAUAAAGUAAUCUCCACUCUUGGAUAUAUACAGCUUCCCACUCAUGAAUGUGUGUGGCAGAAAUGCUCAUGGUGAUAACUAUAGAUAAAACAGAAAUAACACAAUGCUACUGCUCAUUGUAUGGUAAAAAUCUAGAAAAGUAAGAAGAAAUAUACUCACUGACAUAGAGCAAAAAUGGUUUCGCCCAAUCCAUAAGGUGUAAAUUUUAUAUUCCCGACCAAGGAAACUGAUUACCAACCAUCCAGAUAAAGGUAGGAAGGUCCAAAGGUAAUAAAAAUCAAUAUUUUAUUGAAAAUAGUAUAUAAAAACAAGUGAUAAAGAGUAACACACUAAUGUGUUUCACCUAUCUUACAGGCUUUCUCAAAGUGUUCAGCGUUUAAGAUUAUAUAUACAUACGAUACAGAUGAUAUUCUUACUAUAUGAAUCUAUAAGUACAAAGCAAGAAACAGAUUAUGGUGCAGUACAGUAGAUGUUUGUGAAGGGAGUACAUAUGGGCAAAAGUGAACAUUCACACUUUUUAGAGCUGUCGAAGCUCUAUUAUGAAGGCCUGUACAGAAUAAUCCCAGUCUAUAGAUAUAAGUGUUUAAAGGAUGGAGUAGGUAUAUGUAAAAAAAGACAAAAUAGGAAAUCCAAUGGUAUAGUAUAUACAAACAAUUGGUAUUGAUGGAGAAAAAUAUCCUACUUACGUCACCCAGAGCAAUGUCCUGCUGUGGUAUGAAGAACUUGAGGUGGAUCCCCACCUAGGGAUAUAUGCUGGAACCGGAAGGAUGAUGAGGGCUGUAUGAAGGAUGUAUUCCACAGGUGAUGGUUUAUAAAAGAGUAGAUUUAUUAAAUAAAAAACUGGAAACAGCAGCUAUAUAAGUAAAAAAAAAUAAACAACCACACUUAACGCGUUUCACCAAAGGCUUUCUCAAAAGACUUUUGAGAAAGCCUUUGGCGAAACGCGUUAAGAGAUGUGUAAAACCUUAAAUUUUUUUUAAAAGGAGGUCUUCUAUUAAAAUGGAAUUGUACUGAUCUAGAAACUUUUUUGGAACAAGCCUACUCGCUAAAAGACAAUCUUAAGGAGAAUAAAUAUCCUGUCGGAAAGAUUCGUACCCUGAUAAAAGACAUUGGACACCUGUAUGAAGAGAGAUUAAUCCAAUAUCAAAAUCCAGAAAAAAAGAAACAUCAUAAUUCCCAUCAUUCUAGAUUUUAAUAGCAAGUAUAUCAGAAUGAAAUUAAUUAUUAUGAAAUUUUGGGGGAUCCCAAAAGAAGAUAAUAGAUUUAACAAAUAUCCUUUCUGACAAACCCAAUAUUAUUUUUAGGGGUGUUCCUUACCUUAAAAAGUGUUUAACUAGAAAUUACACAAAAAAACAACAACCACUAACAACUAAAAAAAAGUUUUUAUAAAUGUAAAUACUGCAUAGCAUUCAAAAGCACUAACAGGAAUAAUACAAAAAGAUUUUAUUUUAAAUCUAACCAUUCCCCCCAAAAAGUAUAACAUAAAAACCCUAAUCACAUGUAAUUAAAAUAAAUUAGUAUACCUAUUGGAAUGCCCAUGGGGCCUGCAAUUUGUUGACAUAACAACUAAAAUUGUGAUAAUUCAAAUUACAGAGAAUUGCAGGAACAUUUCCAAAGACUUAACAAACCAUUCCAUAGCUAAACAUUUUUUAAUACACAAUAAAGACCCCAAGCACCUACAAUUCUGUGCCUUAGAAAAAAUUACCUUUCCCACAGUGUGGUAACAAUCUCUCCAAAAUUAUAGGCAAAAGAUAAUUUUAAUCGGUCUUUUUCAGUGGCGUAUACACAAUCCAUGGGGUCCCGGUCCGAAACUGAUCCACAACCCCCCCUUCCUCCCCCGACAGAAACACACACAGGCACAUACAAACAGACACACAUACAUACAUACAUACAUACAUACAGACAGACACACACAGGCACAUACAAACUGACAGGCACACAUACAGACAGACACAUACAUAAGACACAUACAUAAAUACACACACACACAUACAUAAACACAGACACACACAUACACAAACACACAGACACAUACAUACAAACAAAAACACACAUAUACAAAAUGUUUAGUUCACCCUCCUGUUUCCUACCUUUUAGGUGCAGGAGGGUGGCUUUCCCUGGGGUCCAGUGGUGGCUCAGGCUGGUGGGAGUCAAAGUUCCCACUUUGACUCCCUCUCCUUUCUCUCGCGCGGGCUCUCUGAUAGGUGGGAGGAGUGACCGGGGAAGUCACUUCCUCCCAGCGUCUGAUGUCAUCUCAGGAGUCAUGAGCUUCCUGAGCCACUUCACUCCCUUCAUUCUACCCUAGCUCUCAUUUUUUUUUUUAAACUAUUGAUGAAGGAAGCCCAUUAUUUUGCAUAAUUUACCUUUAAUUUUGCAUUUGGUUUUAAUGUUUUUACUUGAUUGUCACAUGAUUAUGAUGUCAUGUUACCAUUAUUUUUCAACUUGUACUGAGCUAGAUAUACACAGUGAAGGUCUUUUUGCCUGUAUCACUUUGAGAAAACCUGCAAGAUUGGUGAAAUGUGUUAGUGUGUUUUCACUUUUGUUUUUAUAUACUAUUUUAAAUAAAACUAUUGAUUUUUCUUACCCUUAAACCUUCAUGCUUUUAUCCUGAUGUUUGGUCAUCAGUUUCUUUGGUAGGGAAUCUACCACUUAUGCCUCGUGGAUUGAGAAAAAGCACUUUUUGCUCUACAUCAGUGUGUAUAUUUACUUCUACUCUGUUUUAUCUAUGCAUACCAUGGUAAGGAUUUCUGCCACACAUAUCCACUGGGAGUCAUCAGUAGUCUCAUAGAAAUGUGAGUGUGCACUUAUACAAAUUCACUACACACAGCAUAUCUGACAUACUACACUAUACUGGUGUCACGUUCUGUUUUCUUUUCAUACCUCUGGAUUACACCUUAUUGGACCAAGAUAUCAAGUAUAUAUUCACAGGCGGGGAUUAUACCACCCAGGUGGAGCAAAUUGGAGCUAAUUAUCAGCUCCAUACAUUGUAAAUCCAAUUCCUUUUGUCUUCUUUAACCAAGUAAUCAACAUACUACACUAUAUAUUGCCUCUUAUCUUCUUGUCUCAUUAAAUACUGAUCUAUACUGACCUUAACAUGAGGGCAUUUCCAAAGCGCUGCUUCGCUACUCAUAGGCAAUAACCAUUUACAACAAGCAACAUGAGACUCUGGUUUGGUUUGUUCAAGCUGCCUAUUGGACCACAUAACAAGCGCUAAAAACUUACUAUCUUGUGUUAUUAUCUCAACACCAAAGCAUUGACUUGUAGCACAGUGAAAGUUAUAAAACCUCAUUUGCUUUCUCUGACAUUUCUUGCCUGGCUACAGAUUGAAAUGUCUUUCACCUUUGCCCACAAUCUCAGCAUUCAUCUGCAGAGAUUGUGAUUGACAUUACUUACCCCUCAUCUCUACAAGGCAAUAUAGUUUGCAGCUUCUUUUAGGUUGCCAAUAUAGCAACAUUCAUGAAAAAAAUGAAGGAAUUUGAGAAGCCACUAAGUGGUUUUAUGUUUUUUCAGUAUAUACCCAGCACACCUCAUGGACAGAAUUUUAUGGGAUAUACACUGCGCACUCCAUGUAAACAAUAGGAAGGCAUAGCUUGGUUGAAAAAGUGAGUUAUUUUUUCAUUUUUCAUUUACAUUUUUACUAAGUUUUUCGUCUUCAUAAUGCAUUAAAACAUGAUAAAUUCAAACUAGGUAUAUCAUUUAAAGGAACACUCCAAUGCCCCCAUUAUAUUGAUAUUCACUGUAUAGUUUAUAUACCCCAAAUUAAACCAUGCAUGUAUUUAAUUGUGCCUUUUUUUCAUUGAGGGUGUAUCUAAAAACAGUUUUAAAAAAACUGCAGGUCUCUUGUCUAAACCCUUUGUAAGCCCUACCCUUCUAACUCAGCCCAGACUUUCUGUGGCUAUCCAAUCACAGACUUCCCAAUACAACUCUAUGAGAAGUCUUUGUAAGGCAGGCAGGUUCACUGAGGACCUGUUGUCUGCUUGAAAGCCAAGGGGGUGUUACAAGACUAAUUUAUAAAAGUGCCAAUUUCUGUUAAAAUAUACACUUUUUCUAAAGUGAAAAAAGGGCACUCCACACAUAACCCUUUUUAGCAAGCUGGAGUGCUUUAGGGGACCGUUGUUUUCUUUUUAACAUUUUUUGUAAGCCCUGAAUCUAUUUUAUACUUAUGUGCAGUUGUUAGAUACAGUUUGGGUAUGUAAGAUGAUUAAAUGCUCCUUAACAGUUGUAAAAAUAUGCGUUUUUGUUUGCAUUAGUUUGAUAAGUGAUAUGAGUAUUAUAACAUUUAUUUGAAUGAAUGUGUCUGCCAACAAAAUAGUGGCUCAUCCCUACUAUUUGAAUGCACAGGGAAAGAUAAUAUGUAGUAUGUGUGUGUGGGUAUCACAAAACAGAAUCAACGUGACUGGCAAGAUUUUGUGAAAAAUUUAGAUAUUUCUUAGCUUUCAAACUAAUAUGCUUCUUCGCGCAGCUGCAUUAGUGAACACACAAAUACACAGUGGGGGUUGUUUCAAUAAGUAGCUCAAAAUGUGCUUAGAUAUUUAUCUGGUCGAUGCAUUAUCACGUCCUCUGAAAUCAAUAGGAAAAUUCCAUGAGCAUGUGUCACAGGAGAAAGAAGUCAUGGGAGCGUCCACUAUGAAAUAGUUUUUCAGAAUAUUAUUUGCAUGGACUAACCUAUUCACACAUUACUCAUAACUUGUGAUAUUCUUCAGCUCCCUACUUACCCUAUUCACAACUGAUCAAGUUGAUAAGAACUGUGUUAGACUAUUUUAUAUAUUUUUUUAUAUCAUUUAGAUAUGCCUUAGAUUAUGUGCCAACCCUUUAACAUAUUGAAAAAUGCUAUUAAUCUUACCUGUUAUUUAGUGCCAGGACAGUCUUCGGCAGCCACUCUGGCUCCUCUGGGAUCACCAUCCCUGAUGAUCUCAGUCCAAUCCAAUGCUAUUCAUAGAGAAACAUUGCGUUACCACGGCACAUGCGCAGAAUUUGCAGCACUCCACCAAUACAAUGCUUCCCGUGGAAGAUAAAACAUGAGGCUUUUUUAUUUUCAAUGGUCUUAAAAGGAAAUGUCUCUAGUGGCUGUCAGUCUAACAGCAACUAGAGGCAUAUUCUCCAAAAUUUUACAUAGCUAGAGAAAAGGGGCAGGGUCUAUGCUCCAAAACAACUACAUUAAGAAACCAACAUUAUAUAUCCUUAGAAUUCCAAUACCAGUCAUGUGCCAGCAACACUUAAGUAUACCUUUUUUUCCUGACCUCUCCUUCCCUACUGAAUUACAUGACUUAUUUCCUAUUCUUUGUCUCUGACUGACUGCCAUUCCAUUAAAUUUGUGUGCAUUUGUUUCAAAAUAUGAAAUAAAAGCACAUUUUGUUACAAUUAUGUAACGUGCAGUUAUUUAUUUAGCUAUUACUAGUUUUUGUAAUGUGUAGGGUAUUGAUUUUAGUAUUACUGUUCUCAUUUUACCAACCUAAAAGUCUCAGCAGACUGUGUCAGGUUUAAAUGACACUGGAUCGCAAGAAUAACAGAAGUUGCUAGAGGCUGAAGUUCAUAGCACAUGCUAUGAUUGGCUACAUAGCUCCCUUCUACUUCAGCAUGCUGGGCUGGAUUUCUGAUGAGGCAAACGGAAGAAGGCGGCACUCCUUGAUCAAACCAUUUAUCAUUGGUGGUAGCACAGGCUUCACAGUGUGCUCUGCCAAGAAGAGGAAUUGCUCUUUCCUCUUCUUGCCUGGCAAAUGUGGCAGCAGGUCCUCUUUUUCAGGCAGGCAACCGAAGGAAAUACUGGAGAAGGUGUGCAGGUAAUGUCAGCAUCAUAACCCCACGUGACCUUCUUUACUGACUGCUGUUACACCUGCUGUUACUGUGCAACCCCAAUGGUGCUUGGCGACAAUCAGGUUCAUGUUUGGGGACAAGAAUAGAGGAAGGAGGGGAGAGAAGAGGGGAGCAAGUGUGAUUAUGGGGUAUAAUAGGAGAGGAAUAAAAUGAGGAAGGGGGAUGAGAAGAAAGGGACAAGGGAAACAACUUACGGAAGGGGAAUAUGAAAAGGGAGGAGGAAUUAAGUGAUGGAAGGGGAACAUGGAGGAAUGGUGGGAGAACAAGUGAGGGAAGGGUAAAAACGAGAAGGAAGGAACAAGUGGGGAAGGGUGGAAUAUGGGGAGAGGAGCACAAGUAAGGCAGAGGUACAUGAACAGAGGCUGGUGGAAAGAGAUAGAAGGGAACAGAUUGAGAAUGGAAACAAACACUCUGCACAAAUACACCACUUCAUUUAGAGUGUCACUUUAGUCAUUUUCACCUUACUUUAUUGCACCCCCAGCCUGUCACAAAAUUUCUAACUCACCUCUCUGUCAUUAUAAUCCACACGCAGACCGUGUCACCUCCACCUCGCUUCCCAUUCACUACCUCAUACACAUCUCCAGUCACGUACCACCACCCACUUGCAUCCAUUCGCCUUAUAACGUAACCCCAAAUAACUUCUGCACUCAGUUUCCCUGUCACAUAUUCCACUUACCUAUCCAUCAUCUACAGCCACCAACAGGAUGCAUUCACCCAGUAACAAACUGCCAUUCAGCCAGUCAUCCAGCCAUAUACUCCAAACUGGUGGUAUUUUCCUGCUCACCUCCCAGUCAUACCCAGUCACCCUAUCACAUUCACAAACUCAGCCACAUAGCAUGUCACUAAUACCCAACCACUCUGUCACACUGCCAUCCAACCACCCACCUAGUCAUGUUUACAUCCAACCUCAUUCAAUCACACAAACCAAGCUUCAAUAUAUACAUAUAUAUAAGUAUCAAUGUUCUGUAUGCAUUCUCUAAAAUUAAGAGACUAGUAUUAUUUUAAAAUUUCAAACAUCAACACAUUUUCGUUCAGGAACAUAGACUGAGGGGCAAUUAGCUUUGAAAACAAAAAUAUAGCAGAACCUGUGGAUGUAUUAAACGAGCGUUAAAAAAAAACUGAAAAAUAAACAGAAAAACAAAGCUUCCCCAUUGGCCAAUAGUUGGACAACUAGUGUAAAAGAAAAUAAGGGAAGAAGAAGAAAUUGAUCUAAUGUGUUUUCUUUUUAGGCAGAAUCAUUAUCAUGGUACAUUUCUUUCCCUUUGCUAUUGCUACUGUGAGACCUAGAUGAUUUUAAUAAACACAUUUAAUGUGGUGAAUCCCCUGGGUAAUUUGUGUGCUGAUAUUAGCUUUGCUUGGUUGAAAGAAAUGCAGGAACCAAACAAAGAAAAGAUCAGCUCUUUCUGAGCUAUGAGAGCCCGAGCUGUGCAGUGUAUUGAAUAGAUGUUAGACAGGGUGGCUAUACCUCACCUUUUACUGUGAAUGCUAGCACAGUAAAAAAUGUUAACCCUAUCAUUAACUGGCUCCUAGUUGCAUGUUCUAAGUUACAUUUUUUUCUUCCACUGUCCAUUUUAUAUAUAUGAUCUGUAGAUCUUUUUCAUGGAUUCCGAAAGUCACUUAAGCUUGACGAUAGACAUAGACUCAGAUUUAUCUAGAUAUGUUAACAUAAAAUGUUAUAUAUUAAUAAACAGCUAAAACAGUGGCAUUUUUGAAGCUCUAACUUGCAACCACAGUUCAUUGGCAGUUCGCUUAUAUAAUUCAUCUGCUUGAAUGCCAAUUUCAGAUUUUAACACAGAAACAGCAAAAAAAACAUACUUUAAAAAAAAAAAAUUAAAAAAAAAAAUAUAUAUAUAUAUAUAUAUAUAUUAUUCAGAAUUUAUUGAGCAUAUAUUUAAUAUUGCACACAAAAAUAGCACCAGGAAAACAUAGUUGCUAAGAAAGUCAUAGUCAUUAUAAAGAACAAUCAUGUUAAAGUGACUCUGUCACUGUCUGGGGUCUUUGCAUAAUUAGCAAGAGGAUGCAGGGAUAGGUCAGGUUUACUUUACUGAACCUUUUCUUCGAAGUCGCCGCCACUCUCUUCCGUCCGUUCUUCUUCAACUCCAGGCACUGCCAGAACAGAAACCAACAUCAGCGCUACAUUUUGGAUGCCCCAAUAGCACUCACUUUUUUUUAGAAUCUAACCCACAUUUCUGUAUGGUUCUUUUGCAAUGACCUGUUGUUUUAAAACACAGAUUGUAUUCCAAUGGUGGGUUAUAAUCUGAGUAAACCAAUGCCUAAACCUGAAUUUUGUUUUUAAUAACUGUUUAUAUAACUCACAGGUCUUGUGAACAUAUUUAACAUAAGAGUCAGUUUAGUCCUUUAGCAAGACCAUACAUGACUUUAUUGAGUUCCUAAACUUCUGGAUUUCGAAAAUCCCUCUGAACUCUACUUCACUCAAUAAAGUAUCACUACUUCCAUCCCCUUACAUAUCAUAUAAUAUAAGGAUGGGAGGAGGCUUCCUAGCUUAUAUUUAUACAAUGAAAAAUAAAUUAUUUUAAUAUUUAAAUUUUUCAAGUUAAUCUUUUGCUGUUGAAAAUAAACCGGAAAUUAAAAUUAUACAUGUACCCAAUGAGAUGAAAAUGUAAGAAAAGAAAACCAACACUAGAAACCAACCAUAUCGUCCAUUCUAUGUUUGACCUUGACCUCUUCUCCUAGUUAUCUUAUUAGCAAGUAUUAUAUUCCAGCACUAAAAUUGUUAUUAUGGGAAUCCCUUCUGCUCCAGUUGCAUACACUGUCCUCAGAACAGAAAGGGUGCUAAAGUAGUAGUACCCAAGGUAAUUCCACUCAUCCAAAUCAGACAAGGGGUGCUUCAUGAUGCAGCUCCCGAGACUGCACCUUGAACUACCAACAAACUUAAAAUAUAAGAUAUAGAAUGCGAAAAAUGGAUACUGCAAGCCUCUUUAUUGUGGUAUCAGAUAUUAAAAAAUCCUACUUGCACUGCCUCAGAAUAUUUUGAUAUAUUUAUAUUGUUCCAUCAUAGAUUUCCAGCUAUACCAUGCCUUUGUAGUUCUCAAAUUCCACAAGUAUCUUUGUUCCUGACAGAAACACCUAGCCUACUCAUUUGUUGUCUCUGCUUGCAUGUGGAGGCCCUGUAUCCCACCAGUAAAACAGAAUUCAAUCCCAUCCAUUUUGUGAUGGAAGCAAUUGUUAACAUUGAAUAACUAGUCAGUGUGGAAGUUUUCUAUACUCCAGUUUCAUGUUCAAGUCAGUGUGGCAUUCUCCUGCUGUAUUGAAGUGCGGCUACCUCUAAAGAAAUCCCCUAGUGGUUUGCAUCUCUCAUUGUGAAUCUCCCUUCUGUUAAAUAAUGUUACAUGCACUAUCCUUAAAGGAACACUAUAACAUUAGAGAUUCAAAUCUGUAUUCCCAACGAUACUGUGUCUUUGUCCCAAGAUCCAUAUUGCAACCCCCCCCCCCACCCUCCCGUUUGCAUAAAAAUGUAAAGACUUUUUUUAAAUUUUUUUUACCUUUUUCUAGCAACACUGAUGAAAACUAUGUGUUUUUAGUAAUGUACGGUAUGUUUAAUUAUUUGGAGCAGUACAGGAGAAAUUCAUGUUCCUGUAUUAUGUGACCGGGAAUUUGGAGGAUAUGUUGAGUGAGAGUCAAGCUUUCAGACACUCUGCUGUAAAUUAUGAUCUCAGGAUCACACGUGGGUUUGCCCUUGAAGGUUGUAUUUACAGCUCUGGAUUGUAAUGUGAUGAUUGUUUAGGUGGCUUCCUGCAGGUGACAGCUUAAUGUGAGCAGUGCUAGUGCAUUUGGCCUCUGGCUCUUGGUGCUUGAACACUUUUCCAGGUGGGUACUCUAUUGUUAAGUGCUAUAUACAUUGAUCAGCCACAACAUUAAAACCACCUGCCUAAUAUCGUGUAGGUUGAACCCAAAAGGCUCAGAUGCAAUGAGGCAUGGACUCCACAAAACAUAUGAAUGCGUCCUGUGGUGUCUGGCACCAAGACAUUAGCUGCAGAUCCUACUAAUUGCAAGAUGGGGCCUUUAUAUAUCGGAUGUGUUGUUCCAGCAUGUCCAACUGACGCUCUAUCAGAUUGAGAUCUGUGAAUGUGGAGGCCAAGGCAACACCUUGAACUCUGUCAUUAUUCUCAAAUUAUUCUUGAACAAUUUUGCAGAGUGGCAGAGGGCAUUAUCCUGCUGAAAUAGGCCACUGCCAUCAGGGAGCACCAUUGCCAUGAAGUGAUGUAAGGGGGCCUGGAAACAAUCUUUAGAUAGGUGGUGUGACGGACCGACUGCACCCCGACCGGGUACCUCCGUCAAUCGCUGCUUCCUAGUACUGACGAGUACCAUAAGCACUGCGCUGGAGCACCAUAACCACUGCAAACCCCCACGAACCGCCGCAGCUUGGUUGGGGUCUUGCCGUCUCCUACCCACUCUGGACCUACGACAAGGCUGCAGGUUCCAGUGGGCAAACCUUUCUCGCUCCAGUGAGUCAAGCAGGAACAGCUCUUACAAGAGCUUAGUCUGUCUGAAGUACAAAAGUACAUACUUCACAUGAACAGGGCCUUUUAAAGUGCAUUGGGCAACAUAUAUUGCAGGGCCCAUAGUCCUGAGACAAUAGGCUGGCCAGCAGGCCCCUCCAAGAACCCAUGACAAGGUUCAGUUUGUCACAGGGCCAUAAUCACAGGGUAGGAGGCUGGCAAAGAGGCCCCUCCAAAAGCCAGUGACGAGGUUACUUUCGUCACAGGUGGUACAUGUCAAAAUAACAUCCACAUAAAUGCCAGGAUGCAAGGUUUUUCAGCAGAGCUUUGCCCAGAGCCUUGAUAUCGGAUGUUUUGGUCUGCUUUCUUCUCAUAAAACAUCUCUUCCCCAUGUAAACGACGCACACACUCCCGACCAGCAACCUGAUCUAAAAGAAAAUGUGCUAAACCAGACCAGCCAACCCUCCAUUGCUCCAUGGUCUGGUGAAGCACAUUCUCAUUGAAGGUGCUUUUGGUGGUGGACAGGGUCACCAUCGGCACUGUGAAACUGCAUCACUGUCGGCAUUAAGUUUGUCAGCAAUUUGAGCUACAGUAGUUCACCUAUGUGAUCGGACCAGAUGGGUUAGUCUUAGUUUUCAUGUGCAGCAAUAAGCCUUAGGUGUCUGAUGUUGGUUUACUGGUUGUCCUUCCUUGCACCAAUGCAUACCGGGAACACCACACAAAACUUGCCAUUUUGGAUAUGCUCUAACCCAGUCAUCUAGCCAUCACUAUUUAGCCCUUGUCGAAGUCAUUCAGAUUUUUUUCGCUUGCCCAUUUUUCCUUCUUCCAGUACAUGAAAUGCAAGAACUGACUGUUCACUUGCUGCCUAAUAUAUCCCACAUCUUGACAUGUGCCAUUUGAAUGACAUAAUCAAUCUUAUUCACUUAACCUCUCAGUGGUUUUAAUGCUGUGGCUGUUCAUUAUAUCCUGGAGCACAAAGGAGAAUGUGCAAGAAGUACAUGUGCUUAAAGGGACACUAUAGGCACCAAAACAACUUUAGCUAAAUGAAACAGUUUGGUGUAUAGACCAUUUGAAUGACAUAAUCAAUAUUAUUCACUUAACCUGGCAGUGGUUUUAAUGCUGUGGAUGCUCAAUGUAUCCUAGAGCUCAGAGGAGAAUGUGCAAGAAGUACAUUUGCUUAAAGGGACACUAUAGGCACCAAAGCAACUUUAGCUAAAUUAAGCGGUUUGGUGUAUAGAUCAUGCCCCUGUAGUCUCACUGAUCAAUUCUCUAACAUUUAGGAGCUAAAUCACUUUGUUUAUACAGCCCUAGUCACACCUCCCUCCAUGUGACUUGCACAGCCUUCCUAAACAAUUCCUGUAAAGGGAGUUCUAAUGUUUAAACUUCCUUUAUUGCACAGUCUGUUUACUUUAGAAUUUCUUACUCCAGGUCUGUUAAUAGCCUUCUAGACCCUCCAGGAAUCGUGUAUGUGAUCAAAAUUCAAUUUACAGAGCAGAAGAUAAAAAGUUCUAAAAUAAGAUACCAUUUGAAUGAAAAUGAAACCAUUUUUGAAAACUAUUUUUACAACCUUGGAAGUAUGGCUACUAAUACAUGGAGAGAAACAAAAGUUAUUUAGAUCCUAUAUAUCAGGGAAUCAAACCGUGCUAUUGCAGGGGCAUGAUUUAUACACUCAAACUGCUUCAUUAAAGUUGUUUUGGUGUCUAUAGCAUCCUUUUAAGUGAUACACUGUUAAAUCCUGGGUUGAAGAGUAUCCUAAAACAGAGUUUGUAAGCCUUGUGUUCCCCUUAAAGAUACCAAAUGUUUCAGUUCACCACCAUAAGAGGGCUACAAACUCCCCACCCUUACCCUAAAUAACUGGUUUGUUGCAUCCCAGCCAUAAUCAAGCUGAUGCAUAAUGCUCCUUGACACAAAGAGUGUUUUCGUCUAUCCCAUUCCCCCUAUUCCUCCAAAUUACAAUGAAACAACUAAAUAUCAGGCGACACAGUACAGCAGUUUUAACAUAUAAUCAGCCACUUAUCCAAAUGGGUUCGGGAUUUUACUUUCCCUGAUAAAUUUUUUUACAUAUUAUAUUUGUUUUUUGUGUUUGUUUUUUAAUAAGAUACUUGGUUUUUUUUUUUUCCUGUUUUGAAACAUAGUGGAUCUCAGAGAAAGCUGGUAGGUUUAGGAACACAGGUAGAGGACAAUUUCACAAUUCCGUACUCCGUGGUUGUAAAGGAUGGGGUAGCAGGUGCACAGAUUCGUGGCUGCUCUGGGUUUUGAUUGGGAGGUGUAUUGAUGUGCCUCACAUAAUAGUCUGUUGCAUUUUGUAUUUCACAGACCAGAAGCAGCUGAAUGGGGCCUUUGUUACUAGCUCCUCCAGGAAUAGAGAAGGCAAAAUACCUGACCCCCCCUUUCCACCCCAGCUCUGCGUCCCUCACCCCUCUGCUCCCCUCCCCAUCACUCUCACCCACUUCAGCCCUCCCAUCUUCCCCUUCAUACAUUUCAAGUGUUCACAGGGAGUCUCUGUCUCUUUUGAGGAUCUGGAGACGAUGAGGAAGCACAUACACCCAGGAAAUUCACACAUACAGUGAGUUAAAGCGCUUGGGGGGACGCUGACAUGUUUACAAAACUGGACAAAUAAUCAUAGACUGGUGCUCUGUAGAAGGUAGAUGUUGGUGAGGACAGAUGCUUCAAUGCAAAGAUGUGGGGUGGAGCGGCAAACAGGACAAAGAGGAAGGAGGACACCGACAUAAAGCAAGAUGUGAAGUUCCUCGACUUGUAACAAUAUUUUAUGCAGCUGUAUAUUUUCUAUAUCCUCUAACAAGCAUAUAGUUUGAUGAUGUGUUCGUGUCUGUGUGUGUGUGUGUGUGUGUGUAUUGUAGUGUGUUAGGGUAACAAGAUCUAGAACUGGACUCUGUGACCAGAGAUAAGUUUCUCACAUGUAAUUUAAUAACAGAUUUCUCAUUAAUGGGAGAAUUGUUACUCAGUUGAACUUACCUCUGGUCAUAGAAUGCAACCCUUUGGCUUUAUCCUGUAAUAUUGAUUGGAAGUUAAUAUUGCAAAGUUUUAUUAGUUAUAAUAGAUUUUCAGUAAGGCAUACUGUAUGUGUAAUUUGUAGGUGUUCCUUUAUUUACUAUUUCCCACUAAUGUUGAAACAACAUGCCUCUAUCCCUUACUAGUCGAGUGCCACAUUCCUAGCGGGCAACAGAGAUCUGUGCCAGCAAAGUGACAGAUCACUGCUUCUUUAAGACGGAUAUAUAAUAUAUAGUGCUCACACACCUCCACCUGCAGGCAAGGGUCCCAUUUCCUUGAAAGACCAUGGUAGAGUGCACAGACAGUAAUUUAUCCUCAGUAUCAGAUAUGUUGAGCAUGGCCUCAUCAAAUAAUACUGCUGUGUCUAUUGAUCGUUUCUCAGAACUUAAUUGUAAAGAGAUGUGUGUGUCCUUGUUCUGGAAAGUGGGAGAAGUUUAUGUCCCAGGUAGCUUUGUACUUGAAAGCGAGAGAGGUGUGUAUCUCCUUGAGGGUUGUGGAUUGUAAAGUGAUUUCUCUAUAAUCUUGGUGAAUUGGGAAGUGGGAUAUUAUUGUUGUGUGUUGAGAAGUGGGAGAGCUUUGUAUCCAUCUUAUUGUUGUGCAUUCGGAAAUGGGAGAGGUGUGUUUCCCCAAUAUGGCUGUGCAUUAGGAAGGAAGAUGUCUGUGUCUUCAUAAUGGGAAGUGGGAGACGUGUGUGCCUCCUUCAUGACUUUGUACUGGGAAGUGGAGUGUGUGUGUGUUUUCUUGCUGAUUUUGUAUUGGGAAGGGGGAAAGAUAUGUUUCACCAUGAUGGUCCUUUAGUACGAAAUGGCAAAAGGCUUGCAUAUCUGUUUUAACAUAUGUUUUUAAUGUGUUGCUCUUCCAAUGGUUUGAACUGUUUCCAACGUUGAUGACUCCACUUGGAAUCCCUUGCUGUGGUAUAUGGCUUUUUAUUCCUAUGUGAUUUGUUUCAUAGCUCAUGUAGGGCUGAAAGCCAUUUAUUGCACAGGGGAUGUACAUCUCUGCAUAUAUUACAUGGUGGUGUAAGUUCUUCACAUCUAAGUUCUUCUUGUGUCAUUAUCACGGACUGUCAUAUGGCAGCCUCCAGCGUUAUUAGCCCAGAGAUACAGGUAGAAUUCUGGAGGACUGGUGUGGCCUAAUUACUUUGCAUUCGUCCUCAAUGAUUAUUAAGAUUCAUGAGGGCUAUAUAAGUAAGUUACCAAUGCCAGUCUGACUUUGACAGAUAUAAAUGUGCAGAGUUUUCACUAAAGUGUGUAUUGUCAAUUUAAAGCGAACUCAAAAACUUUUAGCAAAAAUAGCAAAACGUCAAACAUCCACCUAGUCAUCAUUUUUGUAGACCAGCUACUUUGGCCUAAAAUUGUGAUAUUCACUUUCAAUUUACCUGAAUUCCUGAUAGCAAAAACACUUAAAGGAACACUCCAAGAACCAAAGUCAUGGCGCCAGGAGUGCCCAGGCACCCCUUUAUUGUAAGGAGUCAAACCCUCUUAGAACAGUUUAACUUCGUACCUGAAGUCCAUCAUGCCCCUGCCUCAACUACUGCUUAGGUUAAGCAGGAAGCUUGUAUCACUGAGAUAAGAUCAGCACUGUUAGGCCUAGCUCAUUGGCUGAGCGCGUUCAGCUAAUGCUCUCAGCCAGAGGGCUAGCUGUGCAUUGCAGGGCUUAGCUCAGGUGAGUGAGCGAAUGCUCCUGAACGGGAGUUUAGUGCUUUCACUUAGAAGUAGUUUAGAUGGGGAGUGGCACCCAACUGACCCAAGGUAAGAAGUCAAACUGUUCUACAUGGUUUGCUGUCUUACAACGGUGUGGCGCCAGGUAUCACACGCUGUAGUGGCUAUGGUGCUUGGAGUGUUCCUUUAACUGAAUAAAUAACACUGUUAUUGCUACAUAAACAAACACAAAAAAGGAAACCAUGCAGUUUAGCUUGAAAUGUGAAUGCUUACUAAUCUAGCAAACCAUGAAAAAUAUGUGUACAUAUGUGUGUGUGUGUGUAGAUCUGAUUCACUUGUUUAAGAGUGAGAAUGUUCCCUUUGUUUAUUAAAGUCAAAAUGGCAGUCAAAUCACACAGCCCCAGUGCUUCAUGAAGCUGCAACAUUAUCUGUAGCACAAAGCCAUUAGUUGCUGCUGAAUGGUUAUUUCAUUGUUCCUACUUGGCACACUAAACCUAGGACGGUGAGCUGCCUGGAGUUCACAAUAGUUUGGGCUCACCUGCAGGGAAUAUCCAGAGGUCUGAAAAGUAAUUAUCAGAGACUGAGAAAUGGCUUAGUCAAAAGGAUAUUUAAAGAAUAACAAAAUGCUGAGGACCUGCAUGUUCUGGCUUUUGUCAGCCCAGCUCCUCGCUAGCAUUUUUUUUUAUUUAUGUUUGUUUACUUUUGCUUUUAUUCUCACCUCCAAAUCCCUCUUCCCUCGUAAACUUUCUCCUUCUUGUCUGUCCCUUCGAGGGGUUUUACAUCUACUCUAGCUUUCAUUUUAUGUUGCUUCUGUCUAUCCUUCCUAUAUCGCACUGCUCCCCUUUCUUCACCACUCACCUCUCCAGCACUAUGUCCUUAUCACAGAUCUUUGUCUCUGCUUGCCCCAUUGUGCUGCUUAUUGUUCACUCAGUUCCUGGGGGAUUUCAUGAAGAACAUAGAGAAAGAAAAUAGAUGAGGAUAAAUUACAAAUGGGAAGAUAAAUAUGAGAACUUUCAAUAUAUCAAUACACUCUUAACCCCUUGCUGCAUGCUGAAUGACAGAAACAACUUAGAGAUGUUUGGUUUAAAAGCUAACUAAGGCAUUUGGGACAAGAUAGAUUUGUGAAAUUGAUUUAAAGGGAACUGUUAUGUUCUAGGAUUUUUAAUACUAUGCUUACUUUCUAUAUUUAACAGGGUUGUGUUUGUGAGGUUUGAAAACCAAAGUAAAAUGUGCAAGUCUACAAUAUUCUGUCUUGGAACAGAGUGCCAUCAUGUCUGUCAAUCAUUGUUAUAAGCUUUGUUCUCCACAUGACUUACAUUUAAAAUAAACGUACAUACUGCUCAAGCUUUAGCAAAACUCAAGAGACAGCAUACAAGCUGUUAACCUUUUAUUACCGCACUCCCUCAAUGCUACACAUGAUCAUUCAGGACCACUCACACCAUGCUGGAGAUGCAGUGUUGAGAGGGGCACACUGCUUCAGCUAUGGUGGAAGUGCAUGAAGAUUCUCUCCUUCUGGAAGGGGAUACAUGACAUGUUGAAGUUGUUCUCAGACUGUCCAACCUACUUUGAACCUGCAGAGAUGCUGCUACACUACACCAAGGUCCCUAGAUCUUUGUAUAAAAAUCUCUCAAGAUCCAUAUCCUGAACAUAACUAAAAUGGUGAUCCCACAAUACUGGAAACAGGCAGUGAUUCCUCCGUUGACCUUGUGGUUCUACCAGAUGGAGGAACUAUGGACGGUGGAGGACCUUCAAACUAGCGCAGCUGAUACACAUUUAUCACACAUAAAUACAUGAUCAUACUGGCUACUGUCGGCACCCUCUGCAGACUUCACAGACAAACUACGGUAUUGAGCAACAUCGACACUGACGGUGACUGACUACGGUCUGAUCAACCCACAGUCUUGAGCGACACCGACACUGACCUCAACGAACUAUCACCCACCCCCCUCCUUGUCCUUCCUCUCCAUUUGUGUUAUUACAAUUCUAGAUCAAUAACUUAUGUGGGUCACAAGGACCUGUUCUGAGACUCCUUUUUGAUGAUUUCUAUUUAACGGUAAUAUAUGGGAAAAGUAAAAGGGGAGACUACACAGAUCCAAGACCCAAGAAAUGACCCAUAACUGUUAAACUGGAUAUGUGAUAAGAUCCGGGACCUGCGAGUCCUCAAAUGUUUGGGGCCUGCGAGCUCACAUAAAAAUACACCUUACAUGAAUACUUUCCUUCUUCACUUGUCCUACUUGGGACCUGUGAGUUCCGCAUUAUUUCUUUCUUGAUACUGUCAAUUAUAUGAAUGUUGAUAAAACAAUAAAAAUUCAAUUUACAAAAAAACAAAAUUAGCAUGACAUCACAUGGGGAAAAAAUGGUUAACACAAGUUCUAGGUUAUGUUCAGUUGAAAAACUUUCAGAGAAGUGAUGAUGCUAAGGAAUGGAAAAUUACAAACAGCUAUUGUAAUAUGUCUUAACUGUGGUCUCAUCCUAAAGAAAGAAUUUAGAAAAAAAAAGGAAAUAUAGAAUAACAGAAUUGUUAUCCCAGAAAAAAUGACAUUAUUUGAUUCAGAAUAGCAAAACUGUUGUUGAGGAUGUUGAAUAUGUAAUUACAGUUGAUCCUUCCUUAACGACCUACCUGUUUUAUGAUGACUCACACUUACGACCAGCUCUCUAGCAUGGGCAUUCAAGGGGUUUCCCACAUUAGACAGCUGGUCUAUGUUUAGAGAAUUUUCCCCAAACAUAGAUUAGAGGGAUUCCCUGCUCUUUUGCAUUUGUCUACGUUUAGGUAAAUUUUCCCGAACAUAAAAAAACGCAUUCAAGGGGUUUCCCACAUUAGAGAGCUGGUCUAUGUUUGGGGAAUGUUCCCUGAACAUAUAUUUGAGGGAUUCCCUGCUCUGCUGCGCUUGUCUAUGUUCGGGUAAAUUUCCUCGAACAUAGACCUGCACUGGUGAGCAUGCUCUGUAGCGCAUCCUCACUUACCGACCGAUUCGCUUUACGGCCGAGUCAUAAGAAUGGAACCCAGUCGGUAAGUGAGGAAUCCCUGUAUUGAAUCAAUGGGAGACAUCCUAUAGUAUUAUCCAUAGUUUAUUAACAUACCUUAUAUUAAAGGGACAUUCUAAGCACCAAAUAACAUUUAAAUUUAAAAUUACUAUGCAGUAAGGGAAGGUAAAUAAUCUUGAGUCUUUCUCAGUAGGUCUGCUAUAGAGAGGCUGUGUGAGUCCAUGUCUUCCAACAGCCCCGCUUUUUGUUGGUACAGUCCUGAUUUUGCAUCUGCUGACAGCUAGGGAACUGUCCUGGGCAGCAGAGUGCAAGUAUCAUUAGAGUGCUUGCACUGUGCAGCAGUCACUAGGAUCAUGCAAAGAGAGCUUCAGCAGUGCUCCCUGCAUGGUCCUGUCAGCAAGGGCCCAUAAUGUCUGUCACACAUCUUCAGUGAGCAGGCCCACAUCUGGUUUUGGUAUGAAGAUCGUUCCAUUGCAGUCUCACUGUUCAAUUAUCUGCCAUUUAGUAGUUAAAACACGUUUUAUUACUCUAUACAGCCCUGGCCACACCUUCCCUGGCAUUGACUCACACAGCCUCUAUGAAAAGAAUGGCUUAAUUUUCAAUCAAAACUUACAGCAUUGUGUGUGCAUUUUGGACGUUUUAUCACCUUUAUUCACCUGCUUAGUAAAUUGAACUUUAAUUGCAUGCAUGAUUCUCCUGUAGGAUCUAACAGGCUAUUACCAAAGCAAUAGAUAAUAAAUUCUAAACUCAACAUACUGUGCAGUAAGGAAGGCUAAAAAAUUUAGACUACCUUUCAGGAAGUGCCAGGGAGGCUGUGUGAGUCACAUGCAUUGAAGGUGUGGCUGGGACUGUAUAAACAAAGUGAUUUAUUUCCUAAAUGACAGAAUUGAGCAGUGAGAAUGCAGAGGCAUGAUCUGUACACAUAAACUGUUUCAUUGAAAAGUUGUCCUUUUAACAGGAGUGCCACUAGAGCCUGAAAUGACCAAAGUUUAUACAUAAUAAACAAGUAUGGCCUAGCCCCCACACAGAGAAAUGUUUUAACCCCUUAACGCCGUUACGGCGUUCUAUGUCUUCCCGCAUUAAGUGGGCUUUAAAGCUGUUGCGGCGGCAUAGAACGCCGUAACGGCUUUGAGCCCUGGAGCGCAGGCAGCCCUCCCACGGCAAAAGAAGCCCCCGGGGGCCAUGUGAUCGCUCUCAAAGAGCGAUCAGAUGGCCCCCUAUAGCAGGGGGACUGUCUAAAAUGUUGGGAAAGUGGUGGGAAAGUAAAAUAAAUAUUAUUAAACAUGUUUUAAAAUAAAAUAAAUAUAUUUAUAAAUAUAUAAUAUAUGUGAAAUGGAACACAGGGACAAAAGGGACACAAACCAAUAGGAACCAUAAUUAUCACAGUAACACUCCCACAUACAGUCAGCAAUCCUUCCCCUCUGCCUGUGAUAUAAUUAAGCUAGCUAAUGGAAUAACUUAUGCACAGGCAGAAAAUAUCCAUUUUUACCCAAAGCCCAGAAACACCCCAAAACACAAACAUAUGCCCAUAUACAUCCCUGGAUAGCUCUGAUCUGGGUAAACAACAUAUCCAAAAAUCACCCAGAUCAGAUCAGGGGUUAAAAAAUUUUGUGGAAGUCAUAUUUUACCGACCGCACGCACAUUUUCAUGCCCUAAACAGUUCCAGAGAAUUUGGCUGUGCAGCUGGUCUAUUUCCAAUAGUUUAAAUACUAAGUUCCGUUCGAAUGCACAAACGGGGCCAUUCGUAAAAAUACUCAAAGUUAAAGUGGCGUUUGUAUUGUCGAACGCACUUCCAUUUCCGUCGAAGUGUUGAAGUCUGGAGAAGGUAAAGUUCAGCAGUGUUCGUGUCGUCGCGUAUCCGAUUUGAGUUCCAUGAACUCGACGACCAAACACCGCUGAACGUGUUCGACUGAAUUAAAAUGGCUGCCGCCACGUGUUCGUAUGUCGAAUGGCAGUCACUUCGACUACUUCGGCUGUAUCCAAAGUGCCACUUCGAAAAUGCAAAUCCUUGCCAAUAGAAUUUAAAGGGCCAGAAACAGUGUCCUAAAAUCCAAUAAGUCCAAAGAGAGUGUUUAAACGGCAAUACACCCCAGGGACCAUAGUCACAGGACAAAAGGCUGGCAAGCAGGCCUUUUAAAAACCCAGUGGCAAAGUGCAAUUCGUCACAGUUCCUGUCCACUAUACAUUAUAUUAUUAUAUUAUCAUACACUAUAUAGACAAAAUUAUUGGGACACAUCUCUUAAUAAUUCAGGUGUUUCAAUUAGAUCCAUUGACACGUGUAUAAAAUCAAGCACCUAGCAGUCUGCCCAGUUUUCAUUUGUAAAUUCAAGUCUGGUAUGUGAUAGGACACCACGUUUGAAAUAAGUUAGUUUAUGAAAUGUCAUCCCUGCUCGAUAUUCCACGAUCAACUGUAAGUGGCAUUGGUAUUGAAGGCAUUUGCGAACAACAGCCACAAAGCGGAAGACCACAUAAAGUCAGAGCAGGGUCACGAAGUGCUGAGGUGCAUGGUGCGUAAAAGUCUCCAAAUCUCUGCUGAUUCCAUAGCUGAAGAGUUCCAAACCUCCACUGGCAUUAAUAUCCGCACAAAAACUGUGCAGCAGGAGCUUUAUGGAAUGGGUUUCCAUUCACCAAGUACGACAAGUGUCGGAUCAAGUGUUGUAAAGCUUGCCGCCAUUAAAAUGUGUUCUGUGGGUGACAAAUCUUGCUUUUCUGUUUGGCAGUCUGAUGGACAAGUCUGGAUUCAGUGGAUGCCAGGAGAACGUUACCUGCCUGACUGCAUUGUGCCAGCUGUAAAGUUUGGUGGAAGAGUGGUAUGGGGCGGUGUUUCAGAGGUUGUACUAGGUCCCUUACAUCCUGUGAAGGGAAAUCUUAAUGCUUCAGCAUACCCAGACAUUUUGGACAAUGCUAUGCUUCCAACUUUGUGGGAACAAUUUGGGGUAGGCCCAUUUCUAUUCCAGCAAGGACAUUGUUAGGUCCACAAAGACAUUGUUGGACAAGUUUGUUGUGGAAGAACCUGACUGGCCUGCACAGAGCCCUGACCUCAAACCCAUCAAACACCUUUGGGAUGAACUGGAGUGGAGAUUGUGAACCAGGCCUUCUUGUCCAGCAUCAGUGCCUGUCCUCACAAAUGAUCUACUGGAUGAAUAGGCAAAUAUUCCCACACAAAUACUCCAGCAUUAACAAUGCUUGCACACUGUCAUUUACCCAUGCAUGCACAGCGACAUACACAGUAAUCUGCCCAUAUACACAGUUUUAUGCAAUUAUUUACCCAUAAAUGCACACAGUCCUAAACUGUCAUUUAUCCAUGCAUGCAUACUGCCACAUACACUGUCAUUCAACAAUGAUUGCACAUUGUCAUUUGCCCAUACACCCACACAGUCAUGUUCAUUGUCAUUUACCCAUACAUGCACUCUGUCACAUAUAUGGUCAUUUAGCAAUGCUUGCAAAUAGUGAUGUCCCGAACGGUUCGCCACGGGCAGCGAACAUAUGCGGUAAACUUUGACCCUGUACCUCACACUCAGCAGACACAUUCCAGCCAAUCAGCAGCAGACCCUCCCUCCCAGACCCUCCCACCUCCUGGACAGCAUCCAUUUUACAUUCAUUGUGAAGCUGCAUGCUUAGUGAGUUGUCCAGGAGGUGGUAGGGUCUGGGAGGGAGGGCCAGAGAGGUAAGGGAUUACAGGGACAAAGUGCCACAGCAGGGCUUAAAGGACAGGAUAUUAGGUGGACAGAAUGACAGUGCUAGGGGCAGACAGAUUGACAAAAAGUGAGAGGGAAACAAGGACAGUGACAAAGGGCUUGGAGAUUAGGGGGAGAGAGGAUUAGGCUGACAGAGUGACAGUGACACAGGACUAAGGGAAUGGGGAAAGAGUGACAAAAGUUUAGGGAUAUAAGUAAUUGAGGAGACAUAGUACAAAGGUCUAGGGUGACAGGGGGUUAGAAAUACAGAGUGAGACAAGGUUAGGGGGACCGAGGAAAAAGAGGGCUAGAUCCUCUAACCUCAUCAGCUUUGUGCUCUAUCCCUGUGUCACUUGGUUUAUCCUUUUAAGUAGGUUAGAGGGCAGAACGACAUAGAGGGACAGGGAAUCAGGUGGACAAAGUGAGGGACAAAGGGUGAGAUAGACAAGGGGACAGAGGGACCAGAUGAAAGCAGGGCUAAGGAGAUAGGGAAUUAGGGAACCAAGUGAAAAAGGGUGAGAGGAACAGGGGGAGAGAUUGACAAAACAUAUUGGUAUAUCUGAUAAAUAGGACGACGGACUAAAGUGACAGUGGGUUAGAAGAACAGUGACACAAGGCUAGGGGGACAGGGAGACUGAAGUUAGAUUAUCUAUCCCCCUGUCACUCUGUUGCCCUACCUCUGUGCCUCUUUGUUCACUAAUGCCUUGAAAUAGGGUUAGGUGGCCAGAGUGAUACAGAGCCCGGGGGAGGGUCAGAAGGUAUGUUUUACAUUGUUCCUUAAAACAUUGGUGAUGGCUUAUAGUAGCUGCACUAAAGCUGACUGCAGCAAUAGGGACCUGCACACUUGGCCUUGGGAGCUAAGAAUCCUCUUUGUCGGUCUGCUGCGGAGUCUGGCGGCUAAAGUCAGCCGACUCUGCCGCUAUUUUGGAGCCCAUUAAGAGUUUUGUGGAAACCUGAACCCGAGCCGGGAGUUCAGCGCCAGCCCUGCUGAGCAGGAUAUAGUUAUACUCAUGCACACAAGUUAAUUCUACCGUUCCAUGACCCACCCAUGCGCACAAUUUAUUUAUUUAUACGUCAUCUGCAGGACUAUGUACAAAGAGUGGUCGAUGUACAUUGACUAACUAUUGACCUGUGUGAAGGCGGAGAGCGUUGCACUGGAAGCUCACUGUACAUUGAGACACAGCGCAUCAAGCCACGUUUUUUUGUAGUGACUGCUGAAUUACCUUGAAGAUGUGGAGAAUCACAUCUUUUAGCAGUCUGUCUGUCAAACAAGGAUAAUUUAGUACUGUCUUCACAUCUGAUGCUGGACACUGGCCUUCUGCAUUUGCUGUAUUAAUCAUCUCCCUAUACAGUUGAUGCCUCAUUAGGGCAACAGACAGUGCAAUGUAAUAAUACCCUCAUCUGUAUGGAUACAACUCAGAUACUAACAUUUUAACUAACCUGAAAACUUUUGAAAGCAAUUUUUUUUUUUUUAAAGCCUUUUUUUAAAGAUCAAGAGAUGUCCUUGAAGAAACAUUCUAAUGACCAUAACCACUGCCGUAGUAAAAAACUGUUUGACUCAUUACAAUUGUGGGGCAUCAAGGCACUCCUGGCAACAUAACCACUACUGCACACUGUACUGGAUAUGGUGCUAGGAGUGCUCUUUAAUUAUACACAAGGCUCUGGGAUUUCUUUACUAUAUAGUGCUGUGGAAACCUAAUAUGCUAAAUAAAAAAAAAAAAUGGCAAAAGUUUUCCCUUAUCAAUAAUAUCCCUAGCAAUCCAAAUUCCAUUACAUCAGCUCUGUCACCAUCUGGGGUCUUUGUAUAUUUUGUCAAGUCUCCUGACAGUAACGUCGCCACCAUCUUCCUAUGGUCCUUUGCAGUGGUUGCCAUUUUCUUCCUGCCAGUACUCUUAAGCUCCUGGUGCUUCAGCUGCCAGGAGCCCAAAUUAGCAUAAAACACAGUGUUCUAUGGAGGAGAGCUCUCACUCAUUCUGCAGCUUUAAUAACUGUGAUCAUUGCUGGGCAGCUGGCAAGCCCAGUAUUGAUGAAUGGGCUGAGGAGCAUUCAGGUAGACAUCCAAAGGGGCUUUUCAAACUCUGGGGAUCUCCCUAAUACUGGGGGAGACAUUGGCACUUUGACAGGGCUGGAGGGAGGGGUGGGGGCACUGUCUUAAUGACACAAGUACUUAAAAAGCUAUGUGUCAUGCUCACCGAGAGAGCAGCACAUAGUUCUUCUGUCAGUCUGGGGCCACUAAUUGUAGCUCCAACUAAGAGAGGCUGCACCGGGUUUCCUGAUUUUUUUAAUGCUGCAGGCUAGGGACAUUUUAAAGCACUUAAUCUGAGCACCACAUAUAACUUAUUUGUCAGUCUGGGGCCACUAAUUCUAGACCUGGCUGACAAUGAGGACCAUCAUGUAACAAAUGAUACCUGGGGCUUCUUGGGAACCAGCAGUAAUAACUGUCUCGUAGGACCAUUAGUGUUUUUAGGGGACAGAAAGCCUUUUGUAAUUGCACCUCAUUUCAGUAUACAUUCCACUAAAAAAAUACAACAAAGCAUAACUACUUCCAUGUAUUUACAUAUAUACAUAUAUAAGUCAGUUAAAGGAACACUCCAAGUACCUUAAUCACAAGCCUACUGUAGUGGAUAUGGUGCCCUGGCACCAUCCCAAAGUAAAUAGUCACACCGUUGACAACUUAUCUGAAGUCUAUCUGGAGCCUGUCACCCACUCCUCUGGAAUGUUUGCAAUUGAAGAGGGUGGUGCAAACACUUAACAGAGCGGGUACUGCCACCUCCUCUAGAGACAGAAACUUCUAUUAGGUUCACUUUUCUAAGCCUUGGUUCAUUGGCUUAGAGCAACAGCUGAGUGCUCUCAGCCAGUAUGUGUAUUCCUGCAUGUGAGUGGCAAAUCUUCUGGCUGCAGAAGAGGUGGUGGUGGGUGCCUAGCUUACCCCAGGUUUGUUGUCAGUCUAUUCUUAAGUGGAACUGGCUACUUACUGUGGGAGUGCACCAGAGCACCCAUGGCACCAUAGUCACUACAGCAAGCUUAGGGUGAUCCUCUUACCUUGGGCUACAUGAUUCUGAUAUUCCUUUUAAUUUUCUUUUUACUCCUGCCAUUGCUCUUUCAAUGUUCACCUUGGCUCUGUCAUGCCACUCUUGUCAAUCUAAUAACUUUCAGUUUCAUAUAUUCAUGACAACCAUAUCUACAUCUUCUUCCUUCAUGGAUCUUGUCAUCGUAUCAGCUGCCUCUCCUACCUCAAUACUUCCCACUUCCUGAAAUUCAUAGUCUAAAAAACAAAUAAAAUUCUGUCUCAAACACAAACAUCUUUUGUCAUUCAUCCUCCAUGUCAGUGGUGUUACCAUUGGCUCUGUCCCACCAGUUUACUUCCUUGACAUCAUUUAUGUUCCUCACAUCCAGUCUGUUUCUAUAUUUUUCCACUUUCAUCUUAAAAAACUUAUAUUAGCUUGGCUUUACAAUUAGAAACAAUUAAAGUGCUUCUCAUCAGGCUUUAAUAUGCCCAGAUACCCUCUUUACAGCCUUUGAUAAAUGCCAGUGCCAGGCUUACCUCCAGGCUCAUCUAACCUAUUAUUAAUCUUUAUACUGAUCUCUUAGUAUCCUUUAGAAUUCAAAUUUAUAAUCCUAGUAUUCAACCUCGGAGCUUUCUAUAAUAUAUAUAUAAUGCACAGCAGGGAUUUAUGGGCACAGCUGGUGUUUCAGGGAGUUGUAUUUCCGCUGUCAGUGUUCUCCUUUAGGAUUUCAGAUGAAAGUGUGCAUGUGUAGACUGAGAUAAGACCAAAUAUGAUUUUCAGAAUCUUUACUUUCCCUCGGGUGGUUUAAUAUCCAGUCUUUUGAAUUAUGCAUCUUACUCAACUUACUUAACUGCAUCGGAAUCUCCUGUGGACUCCCAUUUCUUCUUGUAGGGUUAGUCAUUUGUUACACUCGGGAAAUAAUUUCUUGUUUUUCAGUGUUGUUAAGACUCUGGAUUCAUGGAAACUUGACCAUCUUACCCUGUUGUAGUUUUCAUGUGUGUCCAUUUGACUGCUCCAUUGAAGCCUUACAUCUAAGCCUAUGGAGACAGUUUGCUUUUCUUACUAGGUUCGUGAAGAAAAACCAUGGGUUUAACAUAUAGAUUAUACAUAAAAAUACAUAAUAAAAAAAAAUAAAAAAAAGAAGGUGAAUAUACGUAAAGAAAUGUACAAACAAACAGUUCCCAGCUGAAACAAUCCCCCAUACUAGUCUAUGGGGUCUGCUCUGAAUCAUAUACAUGUGGAAAUCAGAAUGGCUUAAAGCGUUACUACUAUCAAAUGAAAAAACACUGUUUUUUGAUAGAAUAACCCUACCAACCCUGUUCCCCCCAAACUAAAAUAAAAAAGCCAACAAACCUCCGUAAAGUACCUAUAUUCCAGUGUCGAGGACAAGUUCUCCCAUCAGCUCAGUCACUCCCCCUAAUUGCAGAGAUGGGAUGUAGGGUGAGGACGGACUGAGACGAGGACAUCGAGGGGGAGGGGGGCAAUACUGCCAUUGGAUGUGCAUUGGCAGUUUGCUGCACAUGCUGAAUACAGACAUCCAAUAUGUACAUAAUUUAUAUCAGCCAGCCUGCAAUUUUUGUUCAGGGCUGGCUAAUGGAACGUCAGUGAUGCUGUCUGAGGUGUUAUAUCUUUGUCAGCAGAGGGCUUAAACUGUGUAUGCACAGCUUUUCAUACUGAAAUGCUGCAAAUACAGACUCCAAGCACCAUGACCACUUCAAAUAACUGAUGUGCGUUCCCUUCGGAGGCAUGGCAUUUUAUUCAAAUGAUUACUGAUGGAGGAGGAGACUUCUGGCCAGCCUCUUGGAAGCUUUUAAACAGGAGAAGUAAGUUAUUUCAACAUGCUUUCUAGUCAUAUUUGAAUCUGACCAUUUUCAAUUUUGUUUUAGUGAGUGUUGUUUGCUAAAUGUGCGAAUGUGAAACUUAAGUGUUUAGCUUGACAUAUAGCAUUCUUCACCAGUCUGAUUAUGGCAAAACUGAUGUAAAAGUGGAAUUGUGAUUCAUUCAAUAUCAUUAACGACUGAGGUUAUCAAUAAUGACGCCAGAAUGAUGAGUCCCUGGAACAGUAUCAAUUUACACCAAAGACUCCAAAUUGGCGUGAGAUGAUGCCAGUUUGGUGUGAGAUGGCCCUAGCAUGCAUGGCACUUACCCAGCAAAUCUCAAUAGGAUUAAUUAAGAGAAUAGUGAUAGCCACUCCUAAGUUGUGGGAAAAAGAGGAUAUACCUCCAACUUCUUCUUUUAUAUACUUAUUUUGUAUUUAUAUGAAUGGCAUAAUUUUAAUACAUUUAGAAAAUAGAGCGUUGAUAGUCUGGAGUGUGACUUUAGAGAUACAUCACAAACACAAUAUAUUUUAAAGCCAACUAUUUACUAUGCAUUUGGUAAAACAACACUAUGUAAAUGUUAAAGGAUGAUCAGUGGCGCACCAAAUUUUUCUAGUACAAUAUUUCAUUUAACUGUAAACUUUACUUUUUUUUACGGUCCUUUACCUUUACGAUCAGAUAGAGACGUUUGAUAUUGUGCAAGCAGCUCAGGAACUGAGACUGUAAAUUUGAUAUGUAUCGUGGAAUGAGAAGAAUGUUAUAUCCUGUUUCUCCUCGUACCGUAUAGAUCAGAUACAAAAUAUUUCCUGGAAAAAGCAUUUUAUGGCCACCUCCUGUUCUUGAAAAAAAAUUAUCUCAUCCUCCUACUAUACACACUGGAGUUUCCCUACCCUGUUGGUAUUGUAAAAAUUUGGAGCGACUUCCCACUGCUUAUUCCAAAGGGAAUUACUUUAAUAGGCUCUUGUCUCCUAAAAUACUCUACAAGUUGGCACAUUUCAAAUAUUAGCAAACAUUGAUAGUGCUCAAGAUAGACAGUGCAAAUAGCUGCCAAGAGAACUCGUGUAGGAGUGUAUUGAUGGAAAUAUUGCAAUCAUCCUCUGUUCUGUCAUAUGAUGGAUGUAGGUUUUCACACAAGGCCUUCGAGCAAUACAGUAAUGUGCUCUAAAUAGCUCAUGCGGAUGUCCAUGUUUAAUUAUAGAUUAAGAGUUAUGUUCUAUUUAUGAAAAAAAUAUUACAUUAUAUAAAUAUAGAUAUACUGUAUUGCUCUUGGUAAUUAUAAUGUUUAUAGAUAUAUCAUUGGUAAUUAAAGUUAAAGCGUUACUAUAACCCUUUUGAGGGGAGGACCUUUCCUAUGUAAAAUGGCUUAUUGGGCACUAUGGAGAAGUCCCCUCCUCUGUUUGCAACAUAAGCUGCAAAAUAAAGAUUUUUACUUACCUGGAAUUAUGCCCAGGGUGAAGCUCCCGGCGCCAAUCUUCCGCACCACCUUUGAUGUCACAGGGAUGCAUUCGGGUUUUUUUUAAAAGUGCAACGGAGGGAGGUGGGAGGGAGUGCAAUGUGGAAGAGAGGGGAUAGCAAGCUUCCCAUUGCAGGCACUCUGCAUGCAAGGGAAGAUUUAACAUUAGCAGUCCAGAACAAAUUUCUGAUCUACCAGUGUCACGUGUACUGGGGGUGCAAUUAAUCCCCAGCAAACAAUUAACAAUAUCUCUGUAUGUGUAGUGUUUCAAGCUGAAACACUCUACGUACAUACUCCUACCACCAUGACCAUUCCAAAUCACUGUAGUCAUGGUGGUUGUGGAAACCUUUUAAAUAAAUGCUAGGUUGUUUUUGCUACACAUUUUACAAAUUUGCUUAAUUAAUUUAUUUAUAAAAUAUUUUACCAGGAUGGAUACAUUGAGAUUUCUCUCAUUUUCUAUGUCCUGGAUCCACAAAACAUUACAUUGUUACAAUAGGAUACAAUAUUACAAAAAUGCAAUAUACAAACUAUAUAUACAUAUACAUAUACAUGCACACAUAUAUAAAUUUAAUGCAUAACAGGUAAUAAAUAUAUUCAACCAUGACAGGUGCAUUCUGUGCUUAGGUAUAUUGCCAUAGACCUCUUAAAAGAUUUUAGAUUGAAUGAAGAUUUGACGGUGUCCCUGAGGUUAUUCCAUAAUUGUGGUGCUCUGUAGGAAAAGGAGGAUCGAGCCACUUUACUUUUGUAUUGCUAACUAUCAUGCUAGUGCUGGAUCGGAGGUUAUAGGAGGUGGGAACAGCUGGGGAGAGCAUUCUACUCAGGUAGGGUGGGAGCUUCCCAGAAAUGCUCUUAUGCACAAGGCUGGAAAGAUUAAGAGUGUGUCGGGAUUCCAGCGAUAGCCAGUUUAGCUCUUUUAACAUAUCACAGUGGUGGGUAAAGUAAUUACAUCCUAGUACAACGCGGCAGAACAAAUUAUAUAACGUAUUAAGUUUAUUAAGAUGGGUUUGUGGUGCGGGUGCAUACACUACAUCCCCAUAAUCAAUGACCGGCAUUAGCAUUUGUUGCACUAUCUGUUUCCUUUCUGUAGGGCUUAGGCAGAAUUUGUUUCUGUACAGGGCACCUAGUUUUGGGUAAAGUUUUGAAGAGAUUUUUUCAAUGUGAAGGCCAAAGGAUAGAUUGGGGUCUAGCAACAUACCUACAUAUUUGAAAGAACAGACGGCUGUCAGUGUGCUAUUUGAAUUUGUUCUGAUACAUAGUUGUUGAUUUUGUAGUUAAUAUAAUUUAGGUACAGUUCCAAAGAUCAUUGUAACAGUUUUGUCAGUGUUUAGGAAGAGUUUGUUAUCCGCUAUACACUUUUCUACCUCUGUGAAUUGGUUUUGGAGCACAGCCUUAAGCUGCGGUAGAUUGGGUUUACUAGCGUAGAUUACAGUGUCGUCUGCAUACAUGUGUACAGUUAAGGAUUUGCAGACGUUAGGCAGAUCAUUUAUAAAUAAUGUGAAUAGCAGGGGGCUGAGUACGGAGCCUUGGGGAACACCACACGUGAUUGAAAGAGGGAGACGCUAUCAGAAAUGGCCACAUAUUGCAAUCGGUCUGAAACAUACGAUCAAAACCAGGUUAGCGGACGAUCACCAAUGCCUGAGUUUUUAAGUUUUUGCAAAAGAAUGCCAUGGUCUACUGUGUCAAAGGCCUUGGCAAAAUCAAGGAAAAUAGCUCCAGUUAUCAUUUAUUUUUCUUCCUUGUGGGGUUCCUUCUGAUUGACGUGUAUGGACAAAAAUAUUAGAAUGGCAUAGAUUUACUUUUUCUGUUAACUCUGUCCUUUUCACUGCAGGUGCCUGAAGUCAUUGCCUGCUGCCCCCCUGCCUUGCUGCCAAUGCCUCAGUUUACGUUUGCCUGUUUCUGUGGCCUACACGGGUUCUGCAACAUGAAAAGGAAGAAAGAAGAGCAGCAAGCAGAACAGGAAACAUCAGUAUGAAGAAGAUAUUUUUACCCCCAAGGUGCAAGCCCUCCAGCUGAUAUGUAUUUCAUUAACUCCUAUAUUUCUGUAUCAGCAUGUAAACCAAAUGAUUACAGGGAAAUGCAUUGCAUAUCUUCAGUAGUGAAGACACUAACUGUAUGUUCUCUUGUGCUCAAGAGACUUCAGAUGUAUAGGGGGUUGCUUAAUGCACCCUCCUCAAACAACAGGUUAAAUAUACUUUACCUUAACGGCUAGCAUUCUAAAGUGGACACAAGUGGUGGAGAUUCCAGCUGAAGUAGCCAUUGGCUCAGUCUUCUCCUACAGCUGCCCGGAACCUAAUUAUCAAUAUGAGGCUUCUGUAGCGAGGGUGUGAGCUAAACUGUGUUUUUGUAUUCAAACAGUCCUCGAAAUUUUGUAGAUUUUUUUAAUUUCCUGGUAGAAAUGUGAUCUGGGAUUUUAGAGUAUCAUCUUGAGAUGCUGCAAAAAACAUGGUGCAAAACAUGUAUACCGGCAGGAGCAGGAAAAUGUUCCAUGGCUCAUACAGAUCUGGGCCGCCAUGUACAAGACAAAGAAAGGGAAGUACGGAAGUUUCGUUAUAUUGCACAAUGUUUUCAAUUUAAGUGACCUUGAAGUAUACGAAAUAACCGUGUUUUAUAUAGCCAAAUAGCCUAAUUCUUUUCCAGAUAUUUUGCCAUUUUUAGUAAUAAUAUAUCUAUCUGUACCUGCUGAUUACAAAAUAGAAACUAGAAUUUACUUCUCUUUGAAUUUUGGCAUUUCCAUGAUGAAUACUGCUGUAGCACUACCAACCCCUGUAUGGCAUUGUGAGUUCAGCAAAGACAUGUGCUGUUGGAAAUACGCAGGUAGCAUACACAUACAUGGACCCUCUAAUAAGGCAAUAUCCCUGGCUGCAAGGUUUAGGAUUGAUCCCAGUGGACAACCUGCAUUGUUACAUGUAAAGCAGAUAAGGAUGCUUUCAUCACUGAUUGUAGCAGGGCCAGGAUUUUGGCAACAACAACAACAACAAAAAAAACCCUCCAUAUUGCAUGCUAGUAAUAAUGCAAAUAAUUCACAUCUAGUCUCUGGAUUUGCACAGCAAACACUGAGUUUACUGUUUCUUUAAAAAAGUAUAGCUGUAGUUAAUACUAUACACAUGAUACCAUAUAGAAUAAUUCUUUAGAAACACUGCAUGUUUAUUGUCAUUGUACAGAUAUAUUUUACAUUAUGAUACAGAGUAAUAUAAAGAAAUCCUCUCUGAUUUCUCAUUCAGCAUGUUCAUUAUUAGGGAUCUCUAUAAAGGUGCUGUUACAAAGCAUGUUCAUACAUUAUAUUGAAAACAUUAUACAAGGCUGUGCUUUUUUAAAAUCACUGUAACAUAUGUUUUCACUUCUUCCUCUUCUAUAAAUACUUUAUUUUAAAGAGAGGAUCACAGUGAUGCACAGAGAAAGAUGGGAACUGUCAUGAUUUAUGUAUAGUGACUAAUAUAUACAGAAUUAUUUAAAACCAUUAAAAGGCAAAACCUGUUGCCACAGUGAUUAUAAGACUGAGAUCCCCAUAAAAACAAGUAAACUUUAUUUACCUUCUAGAAAGAGUGCAAUUUUGCGAAAAAUGGUAUUAGUAAAUUACUUAUUUAACUUUCUACCUAACACUGAUAUGGGUGCAUUCUACAAAAAAAAAAAAAUAUUUGACAAAUUAUGAACAAAUGUAUAGAUUCAGUUAGAAAAAAUAUAUAGCUAUAUAUCCUAAAACAAUUGAGCCUAAAAUGCAAGGUAGUAUUGCCGUAGCUCAAGUUGAUAUAUGAGAGCAUCAAGCAUUUUAGUGGACCAGAAAAAAAGAAAAGAGAAGUAUGGCGAACUCUGCUUUGAAAGUGGUAUUGUUUUGGAAAGGAAAGCUGGAGAACAAAUGGGUACUUUUUUGAUCAGUUAUUUACUUACCUCGCUACAGUUAUUUCUGCAGCAGAUUGUGCACUUGCACUCAAACACAUUCACCAUCACUGAUAUAAUACAAAUAAAUCUCGACUAUGCUGGGGGAUGGACUGAACACACAGCUGCAAUGACUUCAAGCUCCUUAAAUGCAUUGCACCCUUGCAUUCUGGGAUGAUGCUGAGUGUAUGGUGGAUGUGGGUACAAUCUGUUAAAACAGCAACAAAUUAAAGAGGAACUGUCACUUUUCUGGAAAGAGGUUCUAACCAUUUUUGUUAGACUUUAUGCAGGCUUUUGUUAAAUAUAGAGAUAAGUAAACAUAAUGUUAAAAUUCCGGGGGAAGCAAUGGUUCCUCUUUAUAUGUAAUUCAGUUUUUUAGAGUUGCACCAGUUUUACAUUUAAUAUAUACAUUUGUUAUAUACUCCUGUGUAUAAAAAGUCCAUCAUGAGUUAUAAAGGGUAGGUAAUCUGUAUUCAUCCGUGAAUAUUACAAGGUGAGAGAUUCUUUGGACCUCUCUGCAGUGAAAUC
rnacentral:lncRNA from 1 species